rnacentral:lncRNA from 1 species
GAACCGAUUGUUAACAUGGCUACUAUUGAAGAAGCGGCAUCUACACAUUUGUAGAAGCAUCCCAAAACCAAGAUUUUUCCUAAAUUUGCAUCAACAGGUAAUUGCGACAAAAAUUUGCCGAGUUUUGUUAAUUUUUCGUUUUCAGAGAGCGCUCCCACUUGAUGAAGCUUUUCUAAAGCACGAAUAAUAUUGGUAGAGGAAGGUGGAUCUAACGCCUUGCCUAAGACAUCUUGUACAUCACCCAUUUGGCACAUCUUUACUCGCAAAACAACUUCUUGCAGAUUAAGUCUCAGAAUUUCAGGUGUCUGGUAAGACAAAAAUUGGGUAUCAUGUUUGAAUUUUGAGAACAAAUGAUAGCAGAUACCUUCCUGAACACGACCAGCACGUCCACUACGUUGCUUGGCAUUGGCCUUAGAUACAAAUGUAUCAGUUAACCGAGAAAGAUGUCUUCUACUAUUAUAACGCAUUUCCCUAUGUACUCCUGUAUCAAUCACACAAGUGACAUCUGGAAUAGUAACACCAGUUUCAGCGAUAUUUGUCGACAAUACAAUCUUGCGGCACCCUUUGGGAGGGAUGUUAAAAACGGACUGUUGCUGCGCAGAGGAUAGUGUAGAGUGUAGCAUGUAUAUACAGAACUUACGAUGAUUUCGAAACAUAGGCAUAUCUUCGAUAAGAGAUUUUACACGAAGGAUCUCCGAAAUACCAGGUAAGAAUACUAAUACACACUUACUGAAUUUCGGAUCUCCUUCAGUGAAUAUAUACUUUAAGAGAUAAACGAUUAAACCAUAGUUAAUGGCUUUCUCGUUAUACCAAGCUGGAAUUAGGUUCAUUUCAACAAUGGCAUCCUCCGCAGAUUUGUUUGAGAUGCUCGCAUCUUGUUGGUCGGUUUCAUAGUCAUCUUCCUCUAUAACAUCCUGUCCGGCAGCGUUACCGAACGACUUAUCAUUUCCAAACUGGGAAAGUAUAUCUUCUAAAUAAAAUCUAUGCACUGGAUAUGUUUUACCAGGUAUUGUGAUUAAAUUACUUCCUUCAAAGUAUAACUGAAACUUUUCGGCGUUUAAAGUUGCACUCAUAAUUAUAAUCUUAAGAUGAGGAUGUUGUUUAAGUAAAUGAAGUACAUGAAUUAAAAGAAGAUCCGAGUCAAUGCUGCGCUCAUGAACUUCAUCAAUAAUCAGAUGAGUCACAGACUCUAUUUCGUUUCCAACUUCUAGGAGACGCAGAAAUGUACCUGUAGUAACAUAAGUUAAAGGUGUUAAAGGCGUACAUUUGGAAUCCAGACGAACAGAAUAACCAACAAGCUCAUGCGAACGAGCUGAAGGAGGAUUGCCGCCAAGUUCCUGAGAAACACGAUUAGCUAACGAUAUGGCACUGAUCCUUCGAGGUUCUGUAACAUAAAUUUUGACUGCUUUUCCAUUUUUUGUAGAAUUUUCCAACAGAAAAGCAGGAAUUUGCGUACUUUUACCGCAACCUGUGUCUCCUGAUAUAAUUAAGAGUUGACUAUUAUUGACAGCAUCAAUAAUUGUCUCUCUAAACAUCGUAGCUGGCAACUGAUUACGGAAAACCUUAAAUUUUUCGGCUGAUUCACUUUCAAGUUGUUGUCGCCAUUUGUUUAGUAAAGUCUCAGGUGGCCUUUCAAAUCCAGAAAACUUGCCAAUAUUAUCCAUAGGGGCCAUGAGUUUAGAAGUGGUAGCGCUUGUUGGGGUCUCCAAUUCUUUGCUCUUUAUAAUGGAAUCCAACUUCUCGGAAAUCUUUGCAUCUUC